CAGCCGCCGCGGGAAUACAGAGGGUGCGAGCGUUAAUCGGAUUUACUGGGCGUAAAGAGCUCGUAGGCGGUUUGUCGCGUCUGCUGUGAAAUCUGGGGGCUCAACCCCCAGCCUGCAGUGGGUACGGGCAGACUAGAGUGCGGUAGGGGAGAUUGGAAUUCCUGGUGUAGCGGUGGAAUGCGCAGAUAUCAGGAGGAACACCGAUGGCGAAGGCAGAUCUCUGGGCCGUAACUGACGCUGAGGAGCGAAAGCAUGGGGAGCGAACAGGAUUAGAUACCCCAGUAGUCUGUCUCUUAUACAC
rnacentral:rRNA from 1 species